rnacentral:sRNA from 1 species
UUAUAGCCCAGAUUGAAGUGAAAAUCCUUUUUAUUGCGGUAGCGAAUAAAAAGAUUGCAACGGAAAGCUGGAAAGGGC